GACGAACGCUGGCGGCGUGCUUAACACAUGCAAGUCGAACGGAAAGGCCCUGCUUUUGUGGGGUGCUCGAGUGGCGAACGGAUGAGUAACACGUGAGUAACCUGCCCUUGACUUUGGGAUAACUUCAGGAAACUGGGGCUAAUACCGGAUAGGAGCUCCUGCUGCAUUGUGGGGGUUGGAAAGUGUCGGCGGUUGGGGAUGGACGCGCGGCUUAUCAGCUUGUUGGUGGGGUAGUGGCUUACCAAGGCUUUGACGGGUAGCCGGCCUGAGAGGGUGACCGGCCACGUUGGGACUGAGAUACGGCCCAGACUCCUACGGGAGGCAGCAGUGGGGAAUAUUGCACAAUGGGCGGAAGCCUGAUGCGGCAAAGCCGCGUGCGGGAUGACGGCCUUCGGGUUGUAAACCGCUUUCGCCUGUGACGAAGCGUGAGUGACGGUAAUGGGUAAAGAAGCACCGGCUAACUACGUG
rnacentral:rRNA from 1 species